rnacentral:lncRNA from 7 species
AGACCCCCACUGGAUUGGGAUGCCACACGGAAGAGAUUUCCAGGAGAGCCUUAAUUCCCAGCUUUUUGUUGCCUCUCAGGAAGCCUCCACAUCCUGAAAAAUAGGGAUGGCAUCAGCAUCUCCUGUCCUCAUACAGCAGUGAGCAGGCAGAAUCCCUGAUGUUAACUCUGUGCCUGCUGCCAGCUCAGAUUCCAACCAAGUCUGCUUUGAAGCCUUCAGGGAAGGGGCAGGUUAAUGUUGCAGUCUCCUGAACUCAAUCUCCAUUGGGUUUUUUUUUUUGACCCUCACUGCCAUGUCCCCCAAACCUGCAGAAGAGGGAUCAGCAUCACAAAGCUCCUGAGGUGUGAGAAUAAGAAUCCCAUGUUCUUCUCCCAUGGAAGGGGAAGCUGAAGCAGAGGCUGUGAGGAUUUCUUGCACUGACAUUGGGCAGACAUAAGAGUAAGGAAAGGAGGGCAGAAAUUAAAUGUAUAUGCUAUUGGCAAACCACACCAAUGCAGAGGAAAACAUGAUUGGAAGAGAAAACAAAGACGGACACCUGUAUGUCGGUGCUGCUGAGGUGCCACGUUGUGUUGAAUGACCUGCUUCAGUGAGAAGGCCAAAACAAAAUGUAAUAGUGGAAGGCCACCCAAAAAAAUGGGAUUCGAAGAGCAUUGGAGGAGUUUUCUUCAAUAUUUUUUUCCAAGUGAUAAUUAUUAAUUGCAGAGAUGAAAUGGGGAAACUAAAAGUAACAGAAAUGAUAGCAGGUUCCCCUUUCCAAAGCAAAACAAAACAGUGUAUUGAGAAAAAGAGAGAAAAUGCCAAUGGUCUUUGAAGAUUGAGAAGGGAAAAAGGUGUGUUUGCAAGGACACGGUGUGAAAUGUUUGUCAUAAACUCAAAGACUGAAUGUGUUUGGGGAAGAACUCUUCAUAGGUUUCUAUCACUGUGUGCCGUGCUGUUGUAACUGACCGUUUCUGGGGUUGGAAGAGGGGUGACAAUAGGUUACAUGUGAUGAAAAGGCUCCCAGACGUGAUGGGAAGAGAAGUUUUAAAUUAUCUUUCAAAGAUUCAGAGACAUUUGAGGGCAUUUCCUUUACUAGCAGUUUUAUU